rnacentral:rRNA from 1 species
UACGGAAGGCAGCAGUGGGGAAUAUUGCACAAUGGGCGAAAGCCUGAUGCAGCUAUGCCGCGUGUAUGAAGAAGGCCUUAGGGUUGUAAAGUACUUUCAUCGGGGAGGAAAAAAACAAAACUAAUAAUUUUAUUUCUUGACGUUACCCGAAAAAGAAGCACCGGCUAACUCCGUGCCAGCAGCCGCGGUAAUACGGAGGGUGCUAGCGUUAAUCAGAAUUACUGGGCGUAAAGAGCACGUAGGUGGUUUUUUUAAAGUCAGAUGUGAAAUCCCUGGGCUUAACCUAGGAACUGCAUUUUGAAACUGAAAUACUAGAGUAUCGUAGAGGGAGGUAGAAUUCUAGGUGUAGCGGUGAAAUGCGUAGAUAUCUGGAGGAAUGCCUGUGGCGAAAGCGGCCUCCUAAAACGAAAUACUGACACUGAGGUGCGAAAAGCGUGGGGAGCAAAACAGGAUUAGAUACC